AGGUCACUCCGGUGAGUUGUCCGUGACCUUAGAUGUUUUCAUUGUAAUUCAAUCCCAUAAAAAUAUUGACUUUUCUUUCUUUUAUUUAGAGCUUACUUCAAAAAAUUCCUAACUAUAUAUAUAUAUAUAUAUAUAUCCGUCGUCCUUAACCUUAGAAUCACAACACCCUCUCCUCUUCAUAAUUCCCACUUGCUCAUUCAGCAACUCCUCAAAUCAAAAUGAAUCAGCCCGAGACUAAGUCCAAUGGCAACGGCGAAGAAAACAGAGAAUCAUCAGGUUGUUCCACCUUUUGCCGUUAUAUGGGAAAGGCAUUUCUCUGUUUUUUCACGUGGUGUUCGUGAUGAUGAGACUGAUCGAAGUCGUUAACCAAACCAGAAAAAAACAACACGUUGUAGAAGAUCCGUCAAUACGAUCCUCAUCAAAAUAUAUGUGGUUUUUAUAAUCCGUUUGUAAACCAUAUAUAUAAGGGUACUCCCAUGUUGCAAGUUUUUUUUAUAUAAAAAGUUUAUUUGCUUCACUUGUUGAAAGUGAUCAAUGAUCUCAUUUGUAAUGUGUAUUUGUGUUUAAAAACUGUGUUUGAGACUUUGAUUGUUCUU